rnacentral:rRNA from 1 species
AUGUUGGCAUACGGUAUCCCGGCUGAUCUAGUUGAUGAUCAUUUGGCUAUAGGUGAGAGCCAAGCCAUCAUGUGUGUCAAGCGCUUUGCAGUGGGAAUUGUGCAAGUGUUUGGCGAGGAGUAUUUGAGAGCUCCCACUGUUGAAGACGCCGCAAGGCUAUUGGCGAUGAACAAAGCGCGCGGCUUUCCUGGCAUGCUUGGCUCAAUAGAUUGCAUGCAUUGGAGUUGGAAGAAUUGUCCAAAGGCAUGGCAUGGGCAAUUCCACGGCCAAAAAAAGGGUUCCACUAUAAUCCUUGAAGCGGUGGCCGAUCAGGAGACUUGA